AGGACGUCUGGUGAUUUUGUACAUAUCCGUUGGAGUGGUUUGUGGAGCUGCAGUUAUCAUAACGAUAUUGCUGAUUUGGGGAUGCAGGUGGAUGAAAAAGAGAAAUAAAGCUCAGGUGAAUCAUUCCAGUCCUCAUCAUGACCGGCACAAAGCUUGCAAUGUUGAAUUGAAUGAACCUGUGUAUGCAAAUGAAAUGGUUGCUCAACGUGGCCCUGAUGUUUGUGAACCUGAACUGAACUUUUCUGUUUAUGAAAAUAUUCCA